rnacentral:misc_RNA from 1 species
UUUCCGUAGGUGAACCUGCGGAGGGAUCAUUACAGAGUUCAUGCCCUACCGGGUAGAUCUCCCACCCUAUGUUAUUAUUACUUUGUUGCUUUGGCGGGCCGUUAGGCUCCGGCCCGACUACCGGCCCCGGCUGGUAAGCGCCCGCCAGAGGACCCAAAACCCUGAAUAUUAGUGUCGUCUGAGUACUAUAUAAUAGUUAAAACUUUCAACAACGGAUCUCUUGGUUCUC